GACGAACGCUGGUGGCGUGCUUAACACAUGCAAGUCGAACGGGAUUUAGUAAACAGAAGCCUCGGUGGAAGAUUACUAAUGAGAGUGGCGAGCGGGUGAGUAACGCGUGAGCAACCUGCCUAUGACAGUGGGAUAGCCUCGGGAAACCGGGAUUAAUACCGCAUAAAAUCGUAGAAACACAUGUUUUAACGGUCAAAGAUUUAUCGGUCAUAGAUGGGCUCGCGUCUGAUUAGCUAGUUGGUGAGAUAACAGCCCACCAAGGCGACGAUCAGUAGCCGGUCUGAGAGGAUGAACGGCCACAUUGGAACUGAGACACGGUCCAAACUCCUACGGGAGGCAGCAGUGGGGAAUAUUGCACAAUGGGGGAAACCCUGAUGCAGCGACGCCGCGUGAACGAAGAAGGUAUUCGUAUCGUAAAGUUCUGUCCUAUGGGAAGAUAAUGACAGUACCAUAGAAGAAAGCUCCGGCUAAAUACGUG
rnacentral:rRNA from 1 species